rnacentral:rRNA from 1 species
CCUACGGGGGGCAGCAGUGGGGAAUAUUGCACAAUGGGGGAAACCCUGAUGCAGUGACGCCGCGUGAGUGAAGAAGUAUUUCGGUAUGUAAAGCUCUAUCAGCAGGGAAGAAAAAAGACGGUACCUGACUAAGAAGCCCCGGCUAACUACGUGCCAGCAGCCGCGGUAAUACGUAGGGGGCGAGCGUUAUCCGGAUUUACUGGGUGUAAAGGGAGCGUAGACGGCUGGGCAAGCCUGAUGUGAAAGGCGGGGGCGCAAGC